AACGCACCUUGCGCUCCUUGGUAUUCCGAGGAGCAUGCCUGUUUGAGUGUCAUUAAAUUCUCAACCUCACCCAUUUUGUCAUGAAAUGGUCUGUGUAGGCUUGGAUGUGGAGGUUUUGCAGGUCCGCUCUUUUGUGGUCUGCUCCUCUGAAAUGCAUUAGUGGGUUCCGCCCCUAAAUCUAUUGGUGUGAUAAUUAUCUACGCCAGUGAUCUAGGUUUGGCAAUACAAAGAACCUGCUGACAACCGUCCGUCUCGGACAACUUGACAUUUUUGACCUCAAAUCAGGUAAGACUACCCGCUGAACUUAA
rnacentral:misc_RNA from 1 species